GGUCAUUCCAGACGCCCCACCUCCUGGUGCAGCUGUAGAGCCUCCAGGAGCAGCGGUACUUGACCCUUGACACAAUCCUGCAAUGUCAGAGAUAGUAGUAUGCAGGGGUAAAACAUCAGCAUAUGAUUAGCCAAAGAUCAGGAGAAACAUUUCUGUCCAAAGUCCAAAUCAAUUGUUGCCCUUAUACCCAGUGAAUAACUGUUUUGUUACACCAUCCAGUACAGAUGAAAGUAUAAUUACAAGUAAAUGUAGCACAGCCGUUCUUUUUCUGUUCUGCUGAUUUCGGACAAUUCUGCAUUAGCUGUGGCAUAGCGAUCUAACAAUUUCGAUGUUAGACCGGCAGAACAGUAAAUAUUGAAUUUGGAAGACAGAUUGAAUUAAACGUUAUAUAUAGAAUAUUAUAAGAGUGUAACAAUAGAAUAUAAUGGAUGAAAAAGAACCCACAAACACAUUUUGUGUGCAUACACAAGACUUAAUCACACCAAGGUUACUAUUUAACCCAGCUUUUUGCUGUUAUUAUAUAUAUCGUAUAUGUAUGUAGUUGCAUGUAAGUAUGAUUUUAGGCUAAAUAUUUGUUGGGUUUCUUGGGGCUUUUCACCAAAGUAAUAUUGUUUGAAAACUAAUUAUAUUUAAAUAAAAGCUUCUCAUGUC
rnacentral:sRNA from 1 species